rnacentral:misc_RNA from 1 species
UGCGGAAGGAUCAUUAAAGAGUAAGGGUGCUCAGCGCCCGACCUCCAACCCUUUGUUGUUAAAACUACCUUGUUGCUUUGGCGGGACCGCUCGGUCUCGAGCCGCUGGGGAUUCGUCCCAGGCGAGCGCCCGCCAGAGUUAAACCAAACUCUUGUUAUUUAACCGGUCGUCUGAGUUAAAAUUUUGAAUAAAUCAAAACUUUCAACAACGGAUCUCUUGGUUCUCGCAUCGAUGAAGAACGCAGCGAAAUGCGAUAAGUAAUGUGAAUUGCAGAAUUCAGUGAAUCAUCGAAUCUUUGAACGCACAUUGCGCCCCUUGGUAUUCCGAGGGGCAUGCCUGUUCGAGCGUCAUUACACCACUCAAGCUAUGCUUGGUAUUGGGCGUCGUCCUUAGUUGGGCGCGCCUUAAAGACCUCGGCGAGGCCACUCCGGCUUUAGGCGUAGUAGAAUUUAUUCGAACGUCUGUCAAAGGAGAGGAACUCUGCCGACUGAAACC